UGCCUAGGAAAGACUUUAGAUCGAGUU
rnacentral:piRNA from 1 species